GAUGAACGCUAGCGGCAGGCCUAAUACAUGCAAGUCGGACGGGAUCCAUUGAUAGCUUGCUAUCAAUGGUGAGAGUGGCGCACGGGUGCGUAACGCGUGAGCAACCUGCCUCCAUCAGGGGGAUAGCCUCUCGAAAGAGAGAUUAACACCGCAUAAUAUCAACAGUUCGCAUGUUCAGUUGAUUAAAUAUUUAUAGGAUGGAGAUGGGCUCGCGUGACAUUAGCUAGUUGGUAGGGUAACGGCUUACCAAGGCGACGAUGUCUAGGGGCUCUGAGAGGAGAAUCCCCCACAAUGGUACUGCGACACGGACCAGACUCCUACGGGAGGCAGCAGUAAGGAAUAUUGGUCAAUGGGCGGAGGCCUGAACCAGCCAUGCCGCGUGCAGGAUGACUGCCCUAUGGGUUGUAAACUGCUUUUGUCCAGGAAUAAACCUAAAUACGAGUAUUUAGCUGACUGUACUGGAAGAAUAAGGAUCGGCUAACUCCGUG
rnacentral:rRNA from 1 species